GGGAUGCAGCUCAGUGGUAGAGCACUUGCUUCAAGUGCAUGAGGCACUGGGUUCUAUCCCAAGCAACACA
rnacentral:tRNA from 1 species